AUGGCCAUGACCCAGUCGUCCUUCGCUCGCCGCCCACCCCCCUCCGCGGCGCUCACCUCUCCCUCCUCCUCCUCCUCCUGGUCUCCCCCGAGGCACGGGCCGCGCCGCCGCCGGGCCCUCACGGCCGCGUCCUCCCUCCAUUUCCGGCCGGAGGACGUCGCCGAGCUUGCGCACAACAAGGUCUUGAUUGCGGCGACGGUGGCCGGUGUGAUCGGGCAGCUGGCCAAGCCCUUCACUUCCGGCAGGGGUGGGGGCAAAAUCGACAUCGUCAGGGUCGCCGCCCAGUCAGGGGGGAUGCCCUCCACUCACUCAGCGGCAGUUGUGGCAGUGACUACUUCGCUUGCGCUAGAAAGGGGGUUUGCUGACUCCAUAUUCGGGAUGUCGGUGGUAUUUGCGUCAAUUGUAAUGUAUGAUGCUCAGGGAGUCAGAAGAGAGGUGGGCAAGCACGCAAGGCUUUUGAACAAGCUAUGGACCCUACGGGAGCAUACGACGACUCAAGUUCAGGAGGACGGUGGUGGCCAGGUGAAUUCCACCUCUGAACCCCUCCCUGCAAACCGCGAGAUGGCCACGGAGCUUGUCUCCGUUCCUCGGGACCUAACUGAGUUGACAGAGGAGUAUAACCGGCUGAGCGAGUCCGUCGGCCACACGGAAGCGCAGGUCACGGUCGGUGCCUUGCUAGGCUUUGUUGUAAGCUUAGCCGUCCACGCGACACUGUAA
rnacentral:rRNA from 1 species